UCCGGAUUUAUUGGGCGUAAAGGGAGCGCAGGCGGUCAGGAAAGUCUGGAGUAAAAGGCUAUGGCUCAACCAUAGUGUGCUCUGGAAACUGUCUGACUUGAGUGCAGAAGGGGAGAGUGGAAUUCCAUGUGUAGCGGUGAAAUGCGUAGAUAUAUGGAGGAACACCAGUGGCGAAAGCGGCUCUCUGGUCUGUCACUGACGCUGAGGCUCGAAAGCGUGGGUAGCGAACAGGAUUAGAUACCCUGGUAGUNCACGCCGUAAACGAUGAGUGCUAGGUGUUAGGCCCUUUCCGGGGCUUAGUGCCGGAGCUAACGCAAUAAGCACUCCGCCUGGGGAGUACGACCGCAAGGUUGAAACUCAAAGGAAUUGACGGGGGCCCGCACAAGCGGUGGAGCAUGUGGUUUAAUUCGAAGCAACGCGAAGAACCUUACCAGGUCUUGACAUCCCGAUGCUAUUCUUAGAGAUAGGAAGUUACUUCGGUACAUCGGAGACAGGUGGUGCAUGGUUGUCGUCAGCUCGUGUCGUGAGAUGUUGGGUUAAGUCCCGCAACGAGCGCAACCCUUAUUGUUAGUUGCCAUCAUUAAGUUGGGCACUCUAGCGAGACUGCCGGUAAUAAACCGGAGGAAGGUGGGGAUGACGUCAAAUCAUCAUGCCCCUUAUGACCUGGGCUACACACGUGCUACAAUGGUCGGUACAACGAGUUGCGAGCCGGUGACGGCAAGCUAAUCUCUGAAAGCCGAUCUCAGUUCGGAUUGGAGGCUGCAACUCGCCUCCAUGAAGUCGGAAUCGCUAGUAAUCGCGGAUCAGCACGCCGCGGUGAAUACGUUCCCGGGCCUUGUACACACCGCCCGUCACACCACGAGAGUUUGUAACACCCGAAGUCGGUGAGGUANCCUUUUAGGG
rnacentral:rRNA from 1 species